rnacentral:rRNA from 1 species
UGCGCAGGCGGUUCGGAAAGAAAGAUGUGAAAUCCCAGAGCUUAACUUUGGAACUGCAUUUUUAACUACCGAGCUAGAGUGUGUCAGAGGGAGGUGGAAUUCCGCGUGUAGCAGCGAAAUGCGUAGAUAUGCGGAGGAACACCGAUGGCGAAGGCAGCCUCCUGGGAUAACACUGACGCUCAUGCACGAAAGCGUGGGGGAGCAAACA